AGCCCCGUCGUCUAGUGGUCAAGGAUAUGGGCCUCUGGAGCCUAGGACGGCAGUUCGAAUCUGCCCGGGGCUA
rnacentral:tRNA from 7 species